rnacentral:lncRNA from 1 species
GUGAGAAUUGAUUUUCACUGUACCGAAAAUCCCUUUGACUUGGUGUUGCACAUGUCCUGCUUCUCACUGUUGUGAGAAUCCAUUCUUGCUGCAACGAGAAUCCUUCUGACUUGAAGCCAAAUUUUGCCUUGUUUCUUGCUACAAUGAGAAACUCUCUAACUUGGGGGGGGCUAAUUUUUACCUUUUCUCACUAUAGCCAACAUACAAUCUCGCUGCAUUGAGGAUCUCUCUACCUUGCUGAGUGUAGUCUAUUGCAGUCCUCACUAUUCGGAUGCAUUUUUGGCCAUGAUUCCUUUUAAUCUGGGUGAAAUUUUGAACACCAAAGUUGUAACUCUUCUCUUGGCUUUCCAUUGGUCUAAGAAUCACCUCGAUCAGACUUUUGUAACUCUAGCUACGCUUCAAACAUUGCAACAUAUUCAAAGAUCUUUUGAUGCCAAUUUGCACCAUUCAUUGUCGAUUUGAGUUCCAAGUC